GGAGUCUGGACCGUGUCUCAGUUCCAGUGUGGCUGGUCGUCCUCUCAGACCAGCUAUUGAUCGUCGCCUUGGUGGGCCUUUACCCCGCCAACUAGCUAAUCAAACAUCGGCCGCUCCGUUCGCGCCAGGCCUUGCGGUCCCCGGCUUUCACCCUCAGGUCUUAUGCGGUAUUAGCCAUCCUUUCGGCUGGUUGUCCCCCACAAUCGGACACGUUCCGAUGCAUUACUCACCCGUUCGCCACUCGCCGCCAGGGAGCAAGCUCCCCGCGCUGCCGUUCGACUUGCAUGUGUAAAGCAUGCCGCCAGCGUUCAAU
rnacentral:rRNA from 1 species